rnacentral:rRNA from 1 species
GGGCCCGCACAAGCAGUGGAGCAUGUGGUUUAAUUCGAAGCAACGCGCAGAACCUUACCACCACUUGACAUUACCAUCGCGAUUUCCGGAGACGGAUUUCUUCAGUUCGGCUGGAUGGAUAACAGGUGCUGCAUGGCUGUCGUCAGCUCGUGUCGUGAGAUGUUGGGUUAAGUCCCGCAACGAGCGCAACCCUCGCCUUUAGUUGCCAGCAGUUCGGCUGGGCACUCUAGAGGAACCGCCGGUGAUAAGCCGGAGGAAGGUGGGGAUGACGUCAAGUCCUCAUGGCCCUUACGUGGUGGGCUACACACGUGCUACAAUGGCAGUGACAAUGGGCAGCGACCCCGCAAGGGUGAGCUAAUCUCCAAAAGUCGUCUCAGUUCGGAUUGUCCUCUGCAACUCGAGGCAUG